AGUGAACGCUGGCGGCGUGCUUAACACAUGCAAGUCGAACGGUUGUAGCAAUACGACGGUGGCAAACGGGUGAGUAAUAUAUAGGAAUCUGCCUUUAAGAGGGGGAUAACAGUUGGAGACGGCUGCUAAUACCCCAUACUACCAUUUAUGGGAAAGGAGCAAUCCGCUUUUAGAUGAGCCUAUAUCUGAUUAGGUAGUUGGCAGGGUAAUAGCCUACCAAGCCUAAAAUCAGUAGCCGAUCUGAGAGGAUGGUCGGCCACACUGGGACAGAGACACGGCCCAGACUCCUACGGGAGGCAGCAGUGGGGAAUAUUGGACAAUGGACGAAAGUCUGAUCCAGCAACGCCGCGUGAAGGAUGAAGGUCUUAGGAUUGUAAACUUCUUUUGCCGGGGACGAUAAUGACGGUACCCGGAGAAUAAGCACCGGCUAACUUCGUGCCAGCAGCCGCGGUAA
rnacentral:rRNA from 1 species